GAUUGAACGCUGGCGGCAGGCUUAACACAUGCAAGUCGAGCGGGGAAGGGUAGCUUGCUACCUAACCUAGCGGCGGACGGGUGAGUAAUGCUUAGGAAUCUGCCUAUUAGUGGGGGACGACAUUCCGAAAGGAAUGCUAAUACCGCAUACGCCCUACGGGGGAAAGCAGGGGAUCUUCGGACCUUGCGCUAAUAGAUGAGCCUAAGUCAGAUUAGCUAGUUUGUGGGGUAAAGGCCUACCAAGGCGACGAUCUGUAGCGGGUCUGAGAGGAUGAUCCGCCACACUGGGACUGAGACACGGCCCAGACUCCUACGGGAGGCAGCAGUGGGGAAUAUUGGACAAUGGGCGAAAGCCUGAUCCAGCCAUGCCGCGUGUGUGAAGAAGGCCUUUUGGUUGUAAAGCACUUUAAGCGAGGAGGAGGCUACUUAGAUUAAUACUCUAGGAUAGUGGACGUUACUCGCAGAAUAAGCACCGGCUAACUCUGUGCCAGCAGCCGCGGUAAUACAGAGGGUGCGAGCGUUAAUCGGAUUUACUGGGCGUAAAGCGUGCGUAGGCGGCUUCUUAAGUCGGAUGUGAAAUCCCUGAGCUUAACUUAGGAAUUGCAUUCGAUACUGGGAAGCUAGAGUAUGGGAGAGGAUGGUAGAAUUCCAGGUGUAGCGGUGAAAUGCGUAGAGAUCUGGAGGAAUACCGAUGGCGAAGGCAGCCAUCUGGCCUAAUACUGACGCUGAGGUACGAAAGCAUGGGGAGCAAACAGGAUUAGAUACCCUGGUAGUCCAUGCCGUAAACGAUGUCUACUAGCCGUUGGGGCCUUUGAGGCUUUAGUGGCGCAGCUAACG
rnacentral:rRNA from 1 species